rnacentral:tRNA from 1 species
GCGGGUGUGGCGGAAGUGGCAGACGUACAAGAGUUAGGAUCUGGGGCCUUUGGCGUGGGGGUUCGACUCCCUUCACCCGCA